AUCCGCAUUCCCCGGACUGUCGG
rnacentral:piRNA from 1 species